AUCCGUUAUCAAUUCAGAGUACAAUACUGGUGCCGCAUAUUCCAUAUAUCAACGUUAUUGGAAGGGUUGUGGCAUUGAUGUAUUUCAAAAUAACUGGGAAAACAGACCCACCUGAAAUUAUACCACCAACUCCAAGAAAUGACCAGGAGUAUACCAUUUAUGUUGGGGGAGAUUUGCACGUCGAUGUAUACGCCAAAGCAUCAGCUGGCAGGCAUAUAGUGCGAUUUGAUUUCCUUCGACCAGAUGGAAAACCUGUCAAUCAAACGAGCAUUCUACCUGCACCUAA